AACGAACGCUGGCGGCAUGCCUAACACAUGCAAGUCGAACGGGAACUUCGGGUCUAGUGGCGCCCGGGUGCGUAACGCGUGGGAAACUGCGCUUAGGUUCUGCCUUACUCCCCGAGAGGGGUGCUAAUACCGGAUACUGUCUUCGGACCAAAGACUUAUCGCCUUUGGUUGGGGCCGCGUUGGUUUAGUUUGUUGGUAGGGUACGAGCUGACCAAGGCGAGGAUCCAUAGCUGGGUUGAAAGGAUGACCCGCCAGGCUGGGAAUGCGACACGGCCCAGAAUCGGACGGGAGGGAGCAGAGGGGAAUAUUGGAGACGGGGGGAAAGUCUGAUCCAGCAAUGUCGGGGGAGAGAUGAAGGGCGUAGGGUUGUAAAGCUCUUUUACCCGGGAUGAUAAUGACAGUACCGUGAGAAUAAGCCCCGGCUAACUCCGUG
rnacentral:rRNA from 1 species